rnacentral:lncRNA from 1 species
CUAAUGGAAGAGUGUCCUUACACCAAUAGCAUUGGAGCGCUUCUUAAACUCAACUCGCCCCUCAAAGACAACAUUGAUCGCGUAAUUAUGCAAAUGCAAGCAAGCGGUAUUGUCGACCGUUUUUUGGUGGACACUCAAAGGGAUUUGCGCCGACGUGAUGCGCGUCAACGAUCUGCUAAAAUUCCAAGUUCUGAGGAUACUUCCAAUCAAGUCACUCUCAAUCUCGGGCACUUGCAGGGCGCUUUCAUUGUGCUUCUGGGCGGUUGCUUGGUGUCGACCCUGUUCUUCCUGUGCGAGCUGGCCAUGCAUCACUGCAAGAUGGACAUUCAAGAACAUACUGGCGCCCAGGAAUAAGACACGUAUCCUGAGUAAAGGCUUCACAGAACUAACUGAACUCGAAGACACUCUUAAUUCAAUAGCAGUUUCAAAAUUUCGAGUUAGCGCACAGACAGAAAAAUACCGCCAUGUGGAGCAGUUUGACUGGUUGGUGAUCAUAGAACUAAAUUGAGUUCAUAUAAAUAUCGCAUCUAAAAUACUUAUUUGUCAAGCGAUCGGUAAAUAUGAACUUGAGAAUCACUCGUCGUUCAAACUCAACUUGAGGCACAUUACCAUGG